UCCUGGUUUCCCAGGCAGUCCCGCCAGAGUGCUUUACCUAAAAAGGCAGUUGCAACUGACAGCAAGGGUUGCGCUCGUUAAAGGACUUAACCCAACAUCUCACGACACGAGCUGACGACAGCCAUGCAGCACCUGUGUAUAUGUCUAGGCAAGCCUAGAAAGUCUCAUCUCUGAGACGAUCAUAUACAUGUCAAAUCCAGGUAAGGUUCCUCGCGUAGUGUCGAAUUAAACCACAUGUUCCACCGCUUGUGCGGACCCCCGUCAAUUCCUUUGAGUUUUAGUCUUGCGACCGUAAUCCCCAGGCGAAUCACUUAACGCGUUAGCUACGACACUAACCCGAAAAAUCAGGCUAACGUCUAGUGAUUAUCGUUUACAGCGUGGACUAC
rnacentral:misc_RNA from 1 species